UCAUCUACUCUUCCUACUCCCUCUCCCUCUUCACAUCCUAUGACUCCCUCCCACUCUUUCUGUUCUCCUGCUCUUCCCUCCCAUUCUUUCUCCGCACCUCCCUUCCCCAGUCCCUCGCUCUCUUUACCUCCUUCACCAACCCUCUCUCUAUGUUACCCACUUUCUACUUCUUCCCACAUCUCUUCUCCUCAAGGUCUUCCCAAAAAUCAUUCCCCGGGAAAAAGAAAAAGAAUUUAAGGCUGCAAUUUCCUGUUUAAAAAGAGGGACGUUCAAAGCAGUGUAAAAGAAUGGGAGGAUACCUGGAAGUCUGCUGUUAAUAUUUCUGUGCCUAGCUGCCUGGUUAUUGUUUAAAGAGUUCCCAAUUCUAUAUUUGUUAUUGAUAUACACUGUAACAUGUUAUGAGCUUAUUAUUAUUAUU